rnacentral:rRNA from 1 species
GAUGAACGCUGGCGGCGUGCCUAAUACAUGCAAGUCGAGCGAACGGACGAGAAGCUUGCUUCUCUGAUGUUAGCGGCGGACGGGUGAGUAACACGUGGAUAACCUACCUAUAAGACUGGGAUAGCUUCGGGAAACCGGAGCUAAUACCGGAUAAUAUUUUGAACCGCAUGGUUCAAAAGUGAAAGACGGUCUUGCUGUCACUUAUAGAUGGAUCCGCGCUGCAUUAGCUAGUUGGUAAGGUAACGGCUUACCAAGGCAACGAUGCAUAGCCGACCUGAGAGGGUGAUCGGCCACACGGGAACUGAGACACGGUCCAGACUCCUACGGGAGGCAGCAGUAGGGAAUCUUACGCGAUGGGCGAAAGCCUGACGGAGCAACGCCGCGUGAGUGAUGAAGGUCUUCGGAUCGUAAAACGCUGUUAUUAGGGAAGAACAUAUGUGUAAGUAACUGUGCACAUCUUGACGGUACCUAAUCAGAAAGCCACGGCUAACUACGUG